AUGGGCGACGAAGCAACCGAUGAAUCAUUUGAGUGGGCCAUCGGCUACCCUGAUGUUGUAAAGGCUUGUGGUGAGGUGACACGUUUCAUGGAUGAUUUGGCUGCAUUCAAGCAUUACAAGAACAAGCUGGACGUGUCGAGCUCCCUAGAGAGCUACGUGAACCAGCAUCGUGUUACAAGCGAGAUGGCCAUCGCCGUGCUGGAUAACCUGGUCGAAGAUGCAUGGAAAACCACAAACCAGGCACGAUUUGGCCGCCGUGCACUUCUUCCUUUUGUCAACCGGGUCACCAACCUCACCAAGAGCAUGACCUUGUUGUUCCGCGACAAGAAUGACCUCUACACGUUCAGCCGUGGAAACAAGGACAGGACCCGGCAGCAUUUCAUCGACCCUAUCCCCCACUAG
rnacentral:rRNA from 1 species